UACGGAGGGUGCGAGCGUGUCCGGAAUCACUGGGCGUAAAGGGCGCGUAGGUGGCGCGGGCAGUCAACGGUGAAAGUUCGGGGCUCAACCCUGAAUCCGGCCGUCGAUACUCCCGUGCCUUGAGCACUGUAGAGGCAGAUGGAAUUCCGGGUGUAGCGGUGGAAUGCGUAGAGAUCCGGAAGAACACCGGUGGCGAAGGCGGUCUGCUGGGCAGUUGCUGACACUGAGGCGCGACAGCGUGGGGAGCAACAGG
rnacentral:rRNA from 1 species